rfam:Schistosoma curassoni strain Dakar, Senegal genome assembly, scaffold: SCTD_contig0000409
AUCUAGCUGACGAGUCCCAAACAGAACGGAACAUACGUCUUAGAU